UGAUGUGGAAUUCAGCCAGGUAUCACCGUUAAUACCAGUAUCGCCUCCACACUGGAUCCCUUUUCUCUGUAAAAUGGCUGUAAUGGUUUUGGCCAAGCAAGACAACACGCAGAACCAGCCAGUGACUCUAAGAGGCAGGCUGUUUUUAAUGGCCAAUGAAAAAUGCUGUCAGGUCACGAAAUAUUGGCCAAGGCGUCCAAAUGAAGCGAUCGCCUCGACAGACGCGCAGCCUGCUGCACUUCAUGGCACGUCGCAGGCCAGACAAGUGGUGGGAAGUAAUGACUUGAUCCUUGUGAACCUUCACAUGGCAGCCCUGACCCUCCCAGGGAGCGAGAACCCGAGCAGGAAUCACAGUGACAGCCACCGCUGGGCCAGCUUCGUGCAGACCUUGCAGGAAACCCUGAAAGG